rnacentral:sRNA from 1 species
UUGAUUUCAAUUGGUUCUGAAAUUCUGUAGCCUCAGAACAGGUACAGCACAGGAGGUGGCAGGGCAAGUUUCCCUCACAUGAUGGCCUGGCAGUGUGCCCCAGUCCUGACCCAGGGGCACCAUCACUAGCCAUGUGAGGGAAUUCAGUCUCCAUGGCUCCCCUCUUCAGCCUGC